rnacentral:rRNA from 1 species
AAUGUAUUAAAUCAUCAUGGUUUUUACGUGGGUGUUCGAAAGUUUUAGAUCUAACUACCACAAAGACCAUUUAACAUUUAUAAAUAUAACAUAAUCUAAGCUAUUCAUAUAGUUCCGGUAAAACUAGUGCCAGCAACCGCGGUUAUACAAAGAGAACAACCCAACCCUAAUAAAAGAUACUCAUAAUACAACCCAUUCAAUCAUAAUCAGGUAAAAUUAAACCCAAAACGAACUUCAAUAAUAUAAAUCUUAUAACAUAAUAAAAGAAACUAGGAUUAGAUACCCUAUUAUUAUUAAUCCCAUAGGUAGUGUAAUAAACCAACAUGUAUUGGCGGUCUUUACAACUUAGAGAAACUCGCUUUAUAAUCGUAAAUACCCGAUAAUUUUGACUUAAUUUAUAUUCAGCCUAUAUACCGCCGUUUAGAAUUUAGUACUACAUACAACCCUUAAAAUCCCUAUAUCCAAAAUCAGGUCAAGGUGUAGCCAAUAAUUAAGAAAAAGUAAGUUACAUUAAAAACAAUUUAAGAAUUACACAUUAACAUUCAAGUAUGAAAAAGAAUUUAUUUGUACGUAAUAAUUAAAAAUUAAUACCGAACUAAAUAUUAAAGAUGCACAUAUCGCCCGUCGUCCUCUCCAUAACUAAAGAGGUAAGUCGUAACAAAGUUGGGGUUUUGGAAAAAGCCUCAUGUG